rnacentral:rRNA from 1 species
AGUACCGUGAGGGAAAGGCGAAAAGAACCCCGGAGAGGGGAGUGAAAUAGAUCCUGAAACCGUAUGCGUACAAGCAGUGGGAGCACCUUCGGGUGUGACUGCGUACCUUUUGUAUAAUGGGUCAGCGAGUUACUUUGACGAGCAAGCCUAAGCCGUUAGGCGUAAGCGAAGCGAAAGCGAGUCUGAAUAGGGCGACGUAGUUAGUAGUAGUAGACGCGAAACCCGGUGAUCUACCCAUGACCAGGUUGAAGUUGCAGUAACAUGCAAUGGAGGACCGAACCAGUAAACGUUGAAAAGUUUUUGGAUGAGUUGUGGGUAGGGGUGAAAGGCCAAUCAAAC